rnacentral:rRNA from 1 species
CCUUUGCCGGCGACCGGCGCACGGGUGAGUAACACGUAUGCAACCUGCCCUCUUCAGGGGGACAACCUUCCGAAAGGAGGCUAAUCCCGCGUAUAUCGGUUUCGGGCAUCCGAGAUCGAGGAAAGAUUCAUCGGAAGAGGAUGGGCAUGCGGCGCAUUAGCUAGACGGCGGGGUAACGGCCCACCGUGGCGACGAUGCGUAGGGGUUCUGAGAGGAAGGUCCCCCACACUGGUACUGAGACACGGACCAGACUCCUACGGGAGGCAGCAG